rnacentral:rRNA from 1 species
GGAUUAGCCCAAACCAAUAAAGUUUUCUUUAUUGGGGUUGCGGACAUAUCAUAACGGAGAGGUAUCGUAAUUGAAGAGGUUUGGAAAGACCCACCACAGAAGGUAAUAGUCCUGUAUGUUAAACGAGAAGACUUUAGAUAUGAUCCAGAGUACCACGGGACACGUGAAACCCUGUGGGAAGCAGGAGGGACCACCCUCCAAGGCUAAAUACUACCUAGUGACCGAUAGCGUAUAGUACCGUGAGGGAAAGGUGAAAAGAACCCCGGGAGGGGAGUGAAAUAGAACCUGAAACCCUGCACUUACAAGCUGUGGAAGCACAUUUCUUGUGUGACCGCGUACUUUUUGUAGAACGGGCCAACGAGUUACGUUAAGUAGCAAGGUUAAGCACUUAAGGUGUGGAGCCGUAGCGAAAGCGAGUUUUAACUGAGCGUUCAGUUACUUGACGUAGACCCGAAACCGGGCGACCUACCCAUGAGCAGGAUGAAGCGAAAGUAAAAUUUCGUGGAGGUCCGAACCCACGAGCGUUGAAAAGCUCGGGGAUGACUUGUGGGUAGCGGUGAAAUUCCAAUCGAGCCCGGAGAUAGCUGGUUCUCCCCGAAAUAGCUUUAGGGCUAGCCUCAAGGUGAGAGAUACGGAGGUAGAGCACUGAAUGUCCUAGGGGGUAUUGCACCUACCGAAGACUAUCAAACUCCGAAUGCCGUCAUCUUAUACUUGGGAGUCAGACUGUGGGUGAUAAGAUUCAUAGUCGAAAGGGCAACAGCCCAGAUCGUCAGCUAAGGUCCCUAAAUGUAAGUUAAGUGGUAAAGGAUGUGGGAUUGCACAGACAACCAGGAUGUUGGCUUAGAAGCAGCCACUCAUUCAAAGAGUGCGUAAUAGCUCACUGGUCGAGUGAUCCUGCGCCGAAGAUUUCCGGGGCUAAAACUUACUACCGAAGCUACGGCAUCAGUAAUGAUGGGUAGGGGAGCUUCCCAUACGGGUUGAAGCAUGACCGUAAGGACAUGUGGACAGUAUGGGAGUGAGAAUGUUGGCAUGAGUAGCGAGAUGUGGGUGAGAAUCCCACAGGCCGUAAACCCAAGGUUUCCAGGGGAAGGUUCGUCCGCCCUGGGUUAGUCGGGACCUAAGCUGAGGCCGAAAGGCGUAGGUGAUGGACAACAGGUUGAUAUUCCUGUACUACCGAUAACCGUUUGAGAGAAGGGAUGACACAGUAGGAUAAGCUAAGCACACUGUUGGUUAUGUGUGCCCAAGCAUUGAGGCAGUCAAAGUAGGCAAAUCCGCUUUGAUAAUGCUGGGAUGUGAUGGGGAGCGAAAUUUAGUAGCGAAGUAGCUGAUUUCACACUGUCAAGAAAAGUCUCUAUCGAGGUUAAAGGUACCCGUACCGCAAACCGACACAGGUGGGUGAGGAGAGUAUCCUAAGGCCAGCGAGAGAACUGUUGUUAAGGAACUCGGCAAAAUGACCCCGUAACUUAGGGAUAAGGGGUGCCACCAUUAGGUGGCCGCAGAGAAUAGGCCCAAGCGACUGUUUACCAAAAACAUAGGUUUCUGCUAAGUCGCAAGACGAUGUAUAGGAGCUGACGCCUGCCCGGUGCUGGAAGGUUAAGGGGAUCUGUUAGAG